CCUCACGGCGCAAGGCGAACGGAGCAGAGAGGAGGCAUCGCAUGAAGUUGUUCAUCGCGCUGUGUGCAUUACAGGAGCAAAUAAACUUCAACUUCUAGGCUUCAACUCCCAUGUGGGCAAUGACAGUGUGACCUGUGAUUGGGAGGAACGGCUUCCCUGAACUCGUGUGGUGUGAUGUCAUUGGACUUCUAUGCGAACCACGGUUUGUCCAUAACAAACACCAUGUUUGAACAUAAGGAUGUCCACAAGUGCACUUGGUAUCAGGGCACCCUAGGCCGCAGGUCUCUGAUCGACUUUGUAGUCGUAUCAUUAGACUUGCGUCCCAAUGUCCCAAUGUUGCGUCACAUGUGGGUGAAGAAAAAAGAGAAAAAAGAGAGCCAGUUGAGGUGGCUCUGGCAUCUAGUCCGGAUGCCUCCCGGACGCCUCCCUGGUGAGGUGUUCCAGGCAUACCCAGCCGGGAGAAGGCCCCGGGCAGACCGAGGACACGCUGGAGUGAUUGUGUCUCACAGCUGGCCUGGGAACGCCUUGGUGUCCUCCCGGUGGAGCUGGAGGAGGUGUCCGGGGACUGGGAAGUCUAGGCUUCAUUACUGAGACUGCGCCCUCGCGACCCUGACCCGGAUAAGCAGAGAAAAAAAUGGAUGGAGAGAUUCUAAGCAUACGAGACCAGAGAGCCAACUGAGGUCGUGGGGGUAUGCUGGGAGGAAAGCCGAGUACCCGGAGAAAACCCACGCACGCACAGGGAGAACAUGCAAACACCAUGCAGAGAUGCCCAAGCGGACACUGACAAGACAGAAAAUUAAUUUCAGUUUUGCUUCAGCUCACUCGAGACCAGGUUGCAACCAAUUCAGACUUUUCUAAAUAUUCCCACAUUUCAUGUAAUUUCAUAUUUUCUAUGAAAAUUUGCCCAUUGAAAAUAAAUGGGCUAUUUAAAUGCCCAUUCGUGUCCAAAGAGCAGUUAAACAAAAAAAAAAUGAGGUGCAAUAAAAAGAAUGAUUUGGUGCACACUACUACUACCCCAAAUCUGCUAAGCCUAGAGAAGUUGUAUGCCUCACUUGGUAUAUAAUUCUCUGUUUUAGCAUAUUUCCACAGCAUUUCAGUCCAUUUUCAUAUUCCAAACAGCUCAGUUUUCAUUCUAUAUUUAGAUUUUCGUACCUUUUCAAGCUUUUCAGUCCAGCUUCAGCUUUUCAGCAUUUACACGCAAUGUUUACUGACACUGCAUCAUCUAGUUACCCUAAAAAAUGUUACAUAAUUAAUUAAAUAAAUUUGUUGUCGCUGUUAACGCACGCACGCACACACCCACACACACACACACACACACACCUUGUUGGGGGAUACGAUAGAUUUACGGCCGAGAACGGGGAUCUUGGUCUCAAAAAGGUUGGUGACUGGCAUGUACAGUAUGUCCUUUCAUACAUUGUAUUACACUCCUGAUCAAAAUCUUAAGACCAGUUGAAAAAUUGCUAGUAUCUGCAUUUUGCACAUUUGGAUCUUA